CUACUGCCAAUGUCGUGGUCCCUGGGGGGGUCUCACCUCUCACCGAGAUGCACUCAGAGCCUAUCAGAACUAUCAAGAAUUCUCAAAUUCAGACUUUUGUCCCAAGAGUUACGACCUCCUUCUUCUCAGAAAAGACACAUUCUGCAAAGAUCCUGGCAUUUUCCUCUAAAACACAGAAAUAAGUGAAGAAAGGGUGACCUGCUCUGAGUUGUGAGUUCUUUCUUCAUCCCAGCUGCAGGGGAGAAGAACACCUCAAGUAUCUGAAACCAAAGGGACCUCCUGCUUUGAGCAUCUAGUCUAUUCUGCCCUGUGGUCUUUGUGGAAAUUAAUUGCAGUGGUUCUGUGGAUCGUCUGCUUGCUGCUCCUUGUGUCUGUUGGAAUCUUAACCACAAAAUUAACAGAGAGAUAUUCAGGAAAUCUCACUUCCAGUCAGGAAACAGACCAGAAGGGACUGAUUUCAAGGAAUUCAGGGAUUCAACAACUACCAACAAAUGCUCAAAACAGUUGGCACCAGCAUAGAAAAAACUGCUACUCUUUUUCUAGAAAUUUGGUAACUUGGAGAGAUUGUAUACUUCAUUGUUCUACUUCACUUUCAAGUUUUCUUAAAUUAAAUACUGAAAAAGAG